rnacentral:rRNA from 1 species
GACGAACGCUGGCGGCGUGCUUAACACAUGCAAGUCGAACGGAAAGGCCCUGCUUGCAGGGUACUCGAGUGGCGAACGGGUGAGUAACACGUGGGUGAUCUGCCCUGCACUUCGGGAUAAGCCUGGGAAACUGGGUCUAAUACCGGAUAGGAGCCAUUUUUAGUGUGAUGGUUGGAAAGUUUUUUCGGUGUAGGAUGAGCUCGCGGCCUAUCAGCUUGUUGGUGGGGUAAUGGCCUACCAAGGCGGCGACGGGUAGCCGGCCUGAGAGGGUGGACGGCCACAUUGGGACUGAGAUACGGCCCAGACUCCUACUGGAGGCAGAAGUGGGGAAUAUUGCACCAUGGGCGCCAGCCUGAUGCAGCGACGCCGCGUGGGGGAUGACGGCCUUCGGGUUGUAAACUCCUUUCGCUAGGGACGAAGCUUUUUGUGACGGUACCUAGAUAAGAAGCACCGGCUAACUACGUG